rnacentral:rRNA from 1 species
GACGAACGCUGGCGGCGUGCCUAAUACAUGCAAGUAGAACGCUGAAGGAGGAGCUUGCUUCUCCGGAUGAGUUGCGAACGGGUGAGUAAAGCGUAGGUAACCUGCCUGGUAGCGGGGGAUAAAUAUUCGAAACGAUAGCUAAUACCGCAUAAGAGAAGAUGUUGCAUGACAUUUACUUAAAAGAUACAAUUGCAAUACUACCAGAAGGACUCGCGUUAUAUUAGCUAGUUGGUGGGGUUACGGCUCACCAAGACGACGAUACAUAGCCGACCUGCGAGGGUGAACAGCCACACUGGGACUGGGACACGGCCCAGACUCCUACGGGAGGCAGCAGUAGGGAAUCUUCGGCAAUGGACGGAAGUCUGACCGAGCAACGCCGCAAGAGUGAAGAAGGUUUUCAGAUCGUAAAACUCUGUUGUCAGAGAAGAACGAAUUUUGAAAUGGAAUGUUCACACUGUGACGGUAUCUUACCAGAAAGGGACGGCUAACUCCGUG